rnacentral:lncRNA from 1 species
GUGGCCGGGCGGGAUGUAACCCGCUGCUGAGCUGGCAGCUCUGUGUCGCUAGGCUUCGGCCCGGCCGCCGCCGCACAUAAGCUGCGAGGAGGAGCUUUACGACUUCCCGGUCUUCGGGGCCGGGCGCAGCAAGGGCCAGACUCUGCGCUAGCAGGCGCUGCGCGCCAACCGGCCGGCACCUGUCGCAGAAGGUGCAACCGAUCGCACUGUCGCGCCGAAGCUCCUCAAUGGCCAGCGCCAGCUGCAGCCCCGGCCGCCCACUCGCCUCACCUGAGCCUGGGCGAAUCUGGAUUGGGAAAGUUGACAUUAAUCAACUCAUUAUUCCUCCCAGAUUUGUAUUCUCCAGAGUAUCCGGGUCCUUCUCAGAGAAUUAAAAAGCCUGUACAGGAGCUUGAAAAAUCACAUUUGAGAAGAGGAUUGGAUCCUAGCCAUAACAUAAAUAUAAGGGUGGAACCAAAGUUUUAAUCAAAGAAGGUGGUGUUCAGUUGCUGCUUACAAUAGUUGAUACCCCAGGAUUUGGAGAUGCAGUGGAUAACAGUAAUUGCUGGCAGCCUGUUAUCAAUUACAUUGAUAUUAAAUUUGAGGACUACCUAAAUGCAGAAUCGCGAGUGAACAGAUGUCAGAUGCCUGGUAACAGGGUGCAGUGUUGUUUAUACUUCAUUGCUCCUUCAGGACAUGGACCAUUACAUAACUGAAGACUCCCACCUUCAGGCAGGAUUGGGUAGUACGUGUUUGUAACUACCUGGCAUUGCCUUUUGUUGAGAGAAUUAUCUUCUGGUAACUUCAUUGAAAAGGCCUCUUUAGGCAUGAAAUCACCUGCCAGCUGUGCUGAGGACAGGCUUCACAGAGCUCCUGGAGGCUAAUUAAGGUGCAGAGUUCAGAGCAGAAAGAUGCUUCACUAUACCUGUGGCAGGAUGGCCACCAGGGCCUGUUCCCUGGCCAGAGUAAGCACUCUUUCCCUAGGGAUUUGGAACAGCCCCAUUCUCACCUGGUGUUUACCCCAGGUUUUGAAGAGAUUCCAAACUAGAGCAGCAAGCAAAGUCUAGAGCUGACUGGGGAACCAGCCCUACCCUGGAUAUUGGCCUCUGAUGAAAGCACCACUAAACCUCACCUUCUCUCCUAAAUCUCUUCAGAAAUGCUUACUCUCUGUGAUAGACAUGGAACAGAUUGUUUUGCCUCAGGGAUUUAUUGAUUGAUUUUGCCAAAGUCUUUCCCAAGGCUCCUUUCAAAACUGGACUGAUCCCUUGGUUCUGGGAAUGAGUGGUGAACAUCAGACCUCUGGAAUGGUGGCUGGUCAAUGUCUUUGCCCUCUCAAGUUGCUCUUGAAUGUUGAUUCAACUCAUUAGGACAUACUUGGAUGAUGAAUUAGAAGGAGCAUCUUUGCCCUCUACUUACAGAUCCUAGGAACAAUUUGUGGAAUUAUCAGUAAGCAAUAUCUGUAACAGAUAAAAUGUCUGCUUUCCCUUUGCCCCUCUUAGCCUAUGACAUGCCACAUCCAAUUUGUCUUCGUUCCAACUGUGAGAGGUCUUAAUUUCAUCAUUCUGGCCUUUUGCAGUUAAAUGUUCUCCAAGGAUAUGAUCUAUGGGGAGAGGACUGAUAGUGGAACUAAUCUUUCAAAGUUCUGCUUAAGCAAUUGUAGAUAACAUAGGAGAAGAAACUCUGGAAACAAUUAUGAUUAUCCUAGUUCUGCCCCUGUGGAAAUUCAAUCCGAAACCCUUCAUGUUUUUGCUUCUCUCUUCUCUACAUGGAUGGAAUAUGUUAUACUUUUUUGAGCUGAAAAAUCUAAAUAAUUAGAAAAAGACAAAGUUGUAAUGAGUUUUCUGUUUAAACUUAUAGGACCCUUUCUAAUAAAAGUGUUAUUGUAAUCAUUGAA